rnacentral:lncRNA from 1 species
ACAAACAUAUCAUCUAGUCAUCUAGGGUUCUUGUUUGACUCCAACAGUAGUAGUAUCGGUUUACACAAUGGCAACAUACAAGAUCCUAGCCCUCUUUGCCUUGCUUGCUCUUUCUGCAAGUGCCACUACAGCAAUCACCACUAUGCAAUAUUUUUCACCAACAGUAGCAGCAAACACCAUGGAUCCUUGCAGGCAGUAUAUGAUGCAAACUCUAGGCAGGGGUGGCUACACAACCAUGUUGUUCAUGUCACAACCAGCAGCUCUCCUACAGCAACAAUGUUGCAUGCAGCUACAGGGCAUGGUGCCACAGUGCCGAUGUGGUACUAGUUGCCAUAUGCUGUUGGACAUGCAGCAAGCUAUUUGUGGUGGACUUAUGCAACCCCAGAUGAAGAUGGCCAUGCAACUUCCAAACAUGUGCAAUAGCAUGGCUCCUAACUACCAGUUCUCUCCCUAUGAUUGUUGUUAGAUUAAACUUUGGUUAUAUAUGUACCGCAACAAUAAGACAUUUGCAUACCAUCGUGUGCAACCAUCUAGAAUAAGUAUCAUGCAAUAAUAAAUUACUUAGUUUGUGUUUAGUUGUGUUGUCUUUGACUGACUCCUUAGUGUGACACUGCAUGAGUUGUGACACAUCAAUUGGGCCAAGCCCGUUGCUAACUAACUAUAUCAUGUUAGCUGGGUCAGAAUGGUAUAUUACCACGAGUUCCCGACGUUAUUUUUUGGGCUCAUGAGUGAAUCCACAAAGCCCGCUAACUGAUCCACGUGGUAUGAGAUAAUUUUACUUAGCUCGAUGGGAUGCGACACAACUCGAGCUAACUAGCCCAAUUACUAGUUGAGGCACAUUGAGUAAAAUUUUUUAAUUUUCUGUUUAAUAUGGAAACAUAAAUUUUUAUUUCAUAUAUUUACAUAUAUGUACUCCCAAUGCUCUCUAGGAUGUUUUAUUUUAAAAAAAGCCCUCGUGAAGGGUGUUUCUUCGAUCAUUACUCAAUUAUAGAGCGUGUUUAGUUUGCAAAAACAAAUUUUUUUGCGGUCACAUCGAAUGUUUGACCGGAUCUCGGAAGAAGUAUUUGGACACGAAUAAAAAAAACAAAUUUCACGGCUAGCCUGAAAACCGCGAGACUAAUCUUUUGAGAGUAAUUAACAUGUCAUUAACACAUGUGAGUUACUGUAGCACUUAUGGCUAAUUAUACACUAAUUAGGCUCAAAAGAUUCGUCUCACAAUUUCUUCCAUAGCUGUGCAAUUAGUUUUUGACUCUAUCUAUGUUUAAUAGUUUAUUUAGAUGUCCAAAUAUUUGAUGUGAUGUUUUUGGGAAAAAAAAUUGAGAACUAAACGGGGCCUCAGUAGAUGUGGCAAACAAAGUUCGUCUUUGCCAUAUCAAAAUGCUGAAUAACAUCCGUGUGCAGUUCAGUUCGCUCUUUAUUAUUGUUGUUUACUUGGUCUUCCUCGGACAUGUCUUUUGAAAUACUUUGUGUUUUUCAGCCUAAUUUGUGUUGAUGUAGUUCUCAAGAACCCUGAAACCCGGUUCAUCCAAUGUAUUUUAAACUAUUAUAACAUGUUGCAACACACAAGUGGGUAGAUCUUGAGGCAUGAGACCAUAUAAACGAAUUAUACAUUCCAGAAGAAAUAUGAUAGUGGAAAAGUGAUGGUGAAGGUGUCCAAACCGGCAUUAUACUUGAUAGCUAACUUUUCAGCCUACAAAUGUUUACCUGUUCAACAAACAUAACAACAUAUUUUUCAGACUGUAAACUGAACUCUAAAAGAGCAUCAAUUUGUAGAGCACAUUAAUUUUUAGAGCAUAGUUUAUGCAAAUCAAUAUACUAAAUAAACACAAAAAAUAUAUUACUUGUGCAUUCCAACACUUCUACUUAACUAACUAUCUAUUUCCUAAUAGCUAUUCAUAUAUGUACACAUAGAUGCAAAUAUGCAAUCAAUCUUAGGCCCCGUUUAGUUCCAAAAAUUUUUAGGAGAGGGGUCACAUCGACACGUACAGUCACACAUUUAAGGUACAAAACAAAUUUCAGAUUUCGCCUGGAAACCACAAGACUAAUCUUUUGAGUCUAAUUAAUCCAUCAUUAGCACAUAUUCUUUACUGUAGUACUUAUGACUGAUCAUGUACACUUAGACUCAAAAGAUUCGUCUAUUUUUCCUAUAUUUGUGUAAUUAGUUUUAAUGUUCAUCUAUAUUUAAUGCUUUAUUUAGGUAUCCAAAGAUUCGAUGCGAUGUUUUUUGGAAAAGUUUUUGGAACUAAACAGAGCGUUAAUUAAUUAUGUGCCAAGUAGAUUAACUAACUAAUAGACUAAUUAGAAUUAUAAUUUUACAAUGUCAUCAAGUUUGCGUUCACCUCAUUAAGAUAUAUACCAGUGUUUUCUACUUUCCCUUGUUACUAUCUAUCUUCUCAAAUCAAAAUUCGCAAAACAAAAAUCAGAGAAGAAGCUGGCCUCAAGUAGUAGGCUGGCCUCUUAUUCCUCUCGCUUGCUCUGGUCUGGUAAGCUAGGCAGCUCCACCCAUCAAACUCCCGGAGCAACAUAGCGCCGGCGUGGCGUAGCAGCAGCCGGCAGGAUGCUCCUCGUCCUCUGACUACGGCGGAGGCCAUGGAGGAGGAGGACAGGGGGGCCUCGCCAACACCAUCCUCCUCGGUAUCAUGGCGUGCCUCCCCUACCGCGCCGACCAUGUCCGCAUGGCCUGCGUCAACAAGCAGUGCCGCAACGCCGUGAGGAAGGAGCCCACGUCGCGAGACCGGUCCCUACUCCCCCGCCACGGCAACCCGCACAUUGCCGUACCAGCAGGACACCUCCUCUCCGCACACGAACGCAUCGAGAUCCACGCGCUCCUCCUCCCCCGACGACCCCUACGAGGUAGUAGCAGUUUUGAGGGUGGUAUAGCACCGCGGCAGCCAUCGAAUCUACAGUCCAUCCCCGGCGCUGUCGCUAGAUGUGAGGUACGCGCGCCUGGGUGGGAGGUGACUGGGGCGUGCGACGGGCGAGUGAGAGGAGGCUGUCACCGGGGGUGCCUACACUAGCUGGGGAUGUGAUGGGUGAAGCGUCAGUUAGGAGAGGCAACAACGGUGCAGUGGGAGCAGUGGUAGAGGAAUCGCUAGCGGUGCGAAGGAAGGAGCGGUGGUGGUGAAGGGGCGGCCAGCGUGAAAGAAAGCACCUGGGAGUACUCUAGGAAUCACUGUCAAUGGGAACGUCCUGACAAUGAUGGCCCACAUGCCAGCGAGUGUGGUGGUGGUGGCAGAUUCACUGUCACCCGCCAUGCACCUCCACUAGUAAUUUUUAUAUGAGUAAAGAUAUGACAGAUCACCUAUGCUAAAUGUUAUGUUAGUUUUGACUUACGUAUCACGUUUUUCAAAACUAACAAAUUAAGCUUACAGUUGUUUCUUUGUGUACCUAAAAAAUUGUUAGGAUACUAUAAAUUUUCCUUAUGUGGUUAGCUUUGUCAUAAUUGAAAAACAAAAAAAAGAAAAGAUUUUGUCAUUAUCUCUUUACACACAAUUCUAAAUAAAGUAUCACUAGAAAUAAACUAAAUAUUUUAAAGUUUUAAAAGAUUGACCUCAACAUUGUUUAAAACGACAUGAAUUAUGGAAUUGGGUGGAGUAAAUGACUAUCUAUGUGUUUAAUACCGAGUGAAGGGCAGAAGGGGUUAAAAUUUUUCCCGUUUGCCGUGAGUAUUCUUCCCAAACUGCUAGAAACACAUUUCUUAUAAAAAAAUCUAUAUAAAAGUUGUUUUUAAAAUCUUAUUGAUCUAUUUUUAAGUUUGCAAUAAAUAAUACUUAAUUAAUUAAUUACUAAUGAUUUAUUUAAUAUUUAUAAUUAUAUUCUUCGUCUUCUUUUUCACUCACCUUCAAACACACCAUAAGUAUACACAAUGAACAGCUAAGGACAACAAAAUUUCACAACUCAUAUUUACUUUAGUAUUUGGCAUGGAGCAAAAGGUAUCAUAUUCCUUAUUCCAUUACAAACAAUCUUCUUUACUUCUGUUUCUUGUUAACAAAACUCCAAAUAUAUGCCAACUACUACAUAUGUUUGUAUACUACUAAAGAUGAUAUGAGUGAGUUGUCACAUAAGUAGCAUGUUCUAGCAUGUUCUAUAAGGUCUAAACAAUUUCUGUUAAAAAGUUUCUUUAUCCACUCCAACAAAUUACAAAUACUACAGAUAAAGAUUUACAAAAUGACAAACUAGUAUGUUAUAGCCUCGUCAUCUUAGCUACUUUCCACGUAUUCCUUGAAACGUUGGCAAAAAGCAGCCUUUUAAAUAUAUCUAUAAUGUCAUAUUAGCACAUAUCAUAUGUUCUUCCAAAAUAUUAGUUGAACAAAUGUCCACAUAAGCCUCACACCUAAUGGUUCCUAGAUUAUCUGUCCUCUACUAGUUAGUUUUGCAAAUGACAAAAAUCUUGCUUCACCUGCACGACUCCUAGCAUGUAUAAAUAGGUCCCUUGGCAACCAUCAUUUUCAUCACACUCAACAAACAUAUCAUCUACUCAUCUAGGGUUACUGUUUCAGUAGUAGUGCCAGUUCACAAUGGCAACAUAUAAGAUCCUAGCCCUCUUUGCCUUGCUUGCUCUUUCUGCAAGUACCACUACAGCAAUCACCACUAUGCAAUAUUUUUCACCAACAGUAGCAGCAAACACCAUGGAUCCUUGCAGGCAGUAUAUGAUGCAAACUCUAGGCAUGGGUGGCUACACAACCAUGUUGUUUAUGUCACAACCAACAACUCUCCUACAGCAACAAUGUUGCAUGCAACUACAGGGCAUGGUGCCACAGUGCCAAUGUGGCACUAGUUGCCAGAUGAUGAUGAAUAUGCAGCAAGCUAUUUGUGGAGGGCUCAUGCAACCCCAGAUGAUGAUGAAGAUGGCCAUGGCCAUGCAGCUUCCAAACAUGUGCAGCAACAUGGCUCCUGGUUACUGCCAGUUCUCUCGCUAUGGUUGCUGUUAGAUUAAAAUUGGGUUACAUAUGUAAUGCAACAAUAAGAUGUUUGCAUACCAUCGUGUGCGACCGUCUAGAAUAAGAAUCAUGCAAUAAAGUACUUGGUUUAUGUUUAAUAUUACUCAACUGUGUUGUCUCUGCC